GUGGAGAGGGGCGCAUGGUGAGGAAGAAAGACAUUUCAAUUCUCUAUUCCCUUUUGUCGUCUCAGCUUGGUAACACCUUACAUAACUGUUCUUUUGUUUUGUUUUGUUUUGUCUUUUAAUUGGGAGACUGAAAAAGAUUCCUCCCUGUAAAACUGUAAGGAUAAAAAAUACUUGCGAUCUUUUUGGAAUAUUUUUAUUUUUAGCUGAAAAAAAAAAGGAUAUAUAGAGAAAAGCCUAGGAGAGAAAAUUAAAGCUUCUUCAAUACAGAGUCAGGAUAUAAUUUUUUCCUAAUGUGAUAAAAAAAGUGUGACUAAACCACACUGAUAUCACAAUUAACUCCUGCAAGUUGAAGCUAUUACCAAGAAUAACUUUUUCUCUUCAGCUGAGCUUGAACCGAGAGCCUGACCUGGGAGAGCAUCGCAGGGGGAAGCUGCACCAGUUUGUUGCUAACCUGUGGCCACAAACGGCAGGAGCCCGGAGGACUGAAACGCUGAGGCAGCAGCAUCUGACCUCGCUUCACUGAGAUGAGCAGCCACGUUCUUUACCUCCUGUUUGCAAGGGGCAAAGCCGGCACGUGUUGGCAGCUGACAUGCCUCGGCUGGCAGCUCUUGACACCUACGGAUAUCCUAAGCCUUAUGGAUUUGUGCCGGCAGAUCAGGAUGCACGAGUGCUGUAAGCUGGAUGUCACUGAAAGAAGAGCUUGGUCCCCUGUUGGGUUUACAGCAUGGGAGUGAACAAAGGCUUGGACCACUGCGGAGGAGACGGCGACACGGGGACAAGGAUGCACAGCAAUGGGUAGGGGAAGAGCCAACCAACGUGUGGUGGUCCCUGCUCACAGGGGUGUACGUGGCUUGGGAAGACGCAGGCAGAUGACUUGGCUGAGCCCAUCUACCAGGUUGCUGAUGCCAAAAGGAGCUGCUCCAGCUCACAGUUUCCUACCUUCUGCUUCCAACUGUGAGCUCCUGCCACUUUCCCCACUGUGGAUCUGGCAUUGUUAGAACACGAUGUGAGCCCAUUCAGCGUGCUAAUCCAGCAGAAGUGGAGUGAGGACUCUUUGACGCUCGUUAGAUUGACGUUUGCCGUCUGACGAUACUAGAAAAGAGCUCUUCACAAUGAGGGUGGUCAAACACUGGAACAGGUACCCAGAGAGACUGUGGCUUCUCCAUCCUUGGAGAUGGUCAGUGCUGGAACGGACAAGGCCCCAAGCAAUCUGAUCUAACUUUGGAGUUGGAUUUAAUGUUGAAGUUGGCUCUGCCGUGUACAGGGAGGUCCCUUCCAACCUAAGUUAGUGUAUGGUAUUAAUGGGACAGUCACGACUCUAUUGUGCCCUUCUUUUACACUGAAAAAUGUCCUCAUGCAUCAGGACCCCUAGCUGAAAAUUUAUCUGUCAAACAUUAGGGUGUUCCUGUAAUUAUUGUGAAACGUCAGUGUAUACAUGUCCACGUGUAAAUUUCUAUGAGCAAAGCUAUCUCAGAAGGCAGUUUGGUUGGACAGUGUAAGUCAGUACUUUAAAAAUUUAUAUAUUGUAGGGUUGAUCUCAUUAUUGCUAAACCAAAGAUUAUAAAAUUAGGUUCUUAAAUCUGAAUUUAUACUGUAAAAUUAACCAAAGUCACACGUACACAGUGCAAGUUUACAAACAAGCUUAACUUUACUUUGAAGAGAGACUGUAAAAUAAUCAUGUGAUAAUACAUAGUGUAUUUUAAGUGGUCCAGAUUAAUCUCAGUGGAUGUUAAAAACAUAUUCAGAUUUCAUCUCUACUUUGUCUCCUUAUGGCAUGCCUGCGAUGCAGCAUGGCUUCUAGAUUUUAUUGGACCAAUAAAAGUUGUUGUGCUUAGCA
rnacentral:lncRNA from 1 species